rnacentral:rRNA from 1 species
UACGUAGGCAGCAAGCGUUGUUCGGAGUUACUGGGCGUAAAGGGUGCGUAGGCGGUCCUAUAAGUAUGGUGUGAAAUCUCCCGGCUUAACUGGGAGGGUGCGCUAUAGACUGUGGGACUAGAGUGUGGGAGAGGAAAGUGGAAUUCCUGGUGUAGCGGUGAAAUGCGCAGAUAUCAGGAAGAACACCCGUGGCGAAGGCGGCUCUCUGGGACGGUACUGACGCUGAGACGCGAAAGCGUGGGGAGCGAACAGG